rnacentral:lncRNA from 1 species
UCGUUGUUGAAUACCCUGUCCUUAGAGACACAAUUGGUACUGGUUGGACAACAAGCAUCCCAUAUGAUGACCACGAUGAAGGUGUUUUAGUGGGACACUUGGAAUUCAUGUCCAAAGAGAUGUCGAAGCGUGCUCCGGACCUCCAGAAAUUGAGCGAAUCGAUGAAGCAGACACGCUCUUCUAGGAGGUCGUGGAUGAAAGAUACAGUGCCUACAACAGCUGAGAUACUUGAAAAGUAUCCCGCUUUAGGAAAUGUUGAGAUGCUUCAUGAAGAAUUUACAGCAAUAACAAGCAUCCAGAUGGAAAAAAAAGCUGUUGGAAUUUUUCAACAACUUUGGACCCAGGAUUCUGGAGCUACUGAAAACUCGCCAUUCAACAAAGGACCUGGUGAAGGAGCUCGAGAAGGAGCUUGAAAAACUGGAAGGCAAUAGCCGUAAAUAUCGAUUUGCAGUUGCCUUAAUAGAACUCCUCCCACUGCUGCUGAAAGAGAAGCCGAAAUUUCUGAGGGGCCCUGACAUCUACCCUGCUCUUUGUUUUGAGGGAACAAGUAUCAGAGAGGCCGAAGAAAUGACCGUAGUGUUUGAGGCAUUCAACAUUCAUGUCGUCGAUGUUAUAGCCGGCAUGACGGCUAUCAUGGAACUGUAUUGGGUACUGGACAUCAUGUACUCGGAGAGUAACAAAAACACCUUAACGCUCCUCGAGUACUUUUGUGGACUACCAAGUGUGCCCAGAGCACCACUACUUUUAAGGACGAUUUCGUCGAUCAAGAGCUGAUCUGACAGCAAUGUGCAAUAAGCAGAGCUUAUAUAAUAAAGAUUGAAGUGUGUGUAUCAAA